AUGGGAGAAAAUCCCGGGGGAAUGAGAACUACGUGUCUGUAUCAAGAAGGUAGUGAAACACUUACUUCGACAGUGGCGCCGAUGUCGAACUCCGAGAAGUGCCUUGAGUCUGUGGGUUGGAAAACUUGGAGCCGGGACAUGAAACCUAUUGCAGCAGGAAUUUUGUGCAUGGUUGAAUCAAAGUUUGACAAAGAGUUUGGAGGUUGCAAGAAUGGCAUCAUGAAGUUGGAAAAUAAUGGAGCUAAUGUUUAG